rnacentral:rRNA from 1 species
GUGGGGGAUAACCAUUGGAAACGAUGGCUAAUACCGCAUAAUGCCUACGGGCCAAAGAGGGGGACCUUCGGGCCUCUCGCGUCAGGAUAUGCCUAGGUGGGAUUAGCUAGUUGGUGAGGUAAGGGCUCACCAAGGCGACGAUCCCUAGCUGGUCUGAGAGGAUGAUCAGCCACACUGGAACUGAGACACGGUCCAGACUCCUACGGGAGGCAGCAGUGGGGAAUAUUGCACAAUGGGCGCAAGCCUGAUGCAGCCAUGCCGCGUGUGUGAAGAAGGCCUUCGGGUUGUAAAGCACUUUCAGUCGUGAGGAAGGUGGUGUAGUUAAUAGCUGCAUUAUUUGACGUUAGCGACAGAAGAAGCACCGGCUAACUCCGUGCCAGCAGCCGCGGUAAUACGGAGGGUGCGAGCGUUAAUCGGAAUUACUGGGCGUAAAGCGCAUGCAGGUGGUUUGUUAAGUCAGAUGUGAAAGCCCGGGGCUCAACCUCGGAAUAGCAUUUGAAACUGGCAGACUAGAGUACUGUAGAGGGGGGUAGAAUUUCAGGUGUAGCGGUGAAA